GGCCCCGUGGCCUAAUGGAUAGGGCGUCUGACUUCGGAUCAGAAGAUUGCGGGUUCAAGUCCCGCCGGGGUCG
rnacentral:tRNA from 1 species